rnacentral:rRNA from 1 species
GGUUAAGCGACUAAGCGUACACGGUGGAUGCCCUGGCAGUCAGAGGCGAUGAAGGACGUGCUAAUCUGCGAUAAGCGUCGGUAAGGUGAUAUGAACCGUUAUAACCGGCGAUUUCCGAAUGGGGAAACCCAGUGUGUUUCGACACACUAUCAUUAACUGAAUCCAUAGGUUAAUGAGGCGAACCGGGGGAACUGAAACAUCUAAGUACCCCGAGGAAAAGAAAUCAACCGAGAUUCCCCCAGUAGCGGCGAGCGAACGGGGAGGAGCCCAGAGCCUGAAUCAGUGUGUGUGUUAGUGGAAGCGUCUGGAAAGGCGCGCGAUACAGGGUGACAGCCCCGUACACAAAAAUGCACAUGCUGUGAGCUCGAUGAGUAGGGCGGGACACGUGGUAUCCUGUCUGAAUAUGGGGGGACCAUCCUCCAAGGCUAAAUACUCCUGACUGACCGAUAGUGAACCAGUACCGUGAGGGAAAGGCGAAAAGAACCCCGGCGAGGGGAGUGAAAAAGAACCUGAAACCGUGUACGUACAAGCAGUGGGAGCACGCUUAGGCGUGUGACUGCGUACCUUUUGUAUAAUGGGUCAGCGACUUAUAUUCUGUAGCAAGGUUAACCGAAUAGGGGAGCCGAAGGGAAACCGAGUCUUAACUGGGCGUUAAGUUGCAGGGUAUAGACCCGAAACCCGGUGAUCUAGCCAUGGGCAGGUUGAAGGUUGGGUAACACUAACUGGAGGACCGAACCGACUAAUGUUGAAAAAUUAGCGGAUGACUUGUGGCUGGGGGUGAAAGGCCAAUCAAACCGGGAGAUAGCUGGUUCUCCCCGAAAGCUAUUUAGGUAGCGCCUCGUGAAUUCAUCUCCGGGGGUAGAGCACUGUUUCGGCAAGGGGGUCAUCCCGACUUACCAACCCGAUGCAAACUGCGAAUACCGGAGAAUGUUAUCACGGGAGACACACGGCGGGUGCUAACGUCCGUCGUGAAGAGGGAAACAACCCAGACCGCCAGCUAAGGUCCCAAAGUCAUGGUUAAGUGGGAAACGAUGUGGGAAGGCCCAGACAGCCAGGAUGUUGGCUUAGAAGCAGCCAUCAUUUAAAGAAAGCGUAAUAGCUCACUGGUCGAGUCGGCCUGCGCGGAAGAUGUAACGGGGCUAAACCAUGCACCGAAGCUGCGGCAGCGACGCUUAUGCGUUGUUGGGUAGGGGAGCGUUCUGUAAGCCUGUGAAGGUGUGCUGUGAGGCAUGCUGGAGGUAUCAGAAGUGCGAAUGCUGACAUAAGUAACGAUAAAGCGGGUGAAAAGCCCGCUCGCCGGAAGACCAAGGGUUCCUGUCCAACGUUAAUCGGGGCAGGGUGAGUCGACCCCUAAGGCGAGGCCGAAAGGCGUAGUCGAUGGGAAACAGGUUAAUAUUCCUGUACUUGGUGUUACUGCGAAGGGGGGACGGAGAAGGCUAUGUUGGCCGGGCGACGGUUGUCCCGGUUUAAGCGUGUAGGCUGGUUUUCCAGGCAAAUCCGGAAAAUCAAGGCUGAGGCGUGAUGACGAGGCACUACGGUGCUGAAGCAACAAAUGCCCUGCUUCCAGGAAAAGCCUCUAAGCAUCAGGUAACAUCAAAUCGUACCCCAAACCGACACAGGUGGUCAGGUAGAGAAUACCAAGGCGCUUGAGAGAACUCGGGUGAAGGAACUAGGCAAAAUGGUGCCGUAACUUCGGGAGAAGGCACGCUGAUAUGUAGGUGAAGUCCCUCGCGGAUGGAGCUGAAAUCAGUCGAAGAUACCAGCUGGCUGCAACUGUUUAUUAAAAACACAGCACUGUGCAAACACGAAAGUGGACGUAUACGGUGUGACGCCUGCCCGGUGCCGGAAGGUUAAUUGAUGGGGUCAGCGCAAGCGAAGCUCUUGAUCGAAGCCCCGGUAAACGGCGGCCGUAACUAUAACGGUCCUAAGGUAGCGAAAUUCCUUGUCGGGUAAGUUCCGACCUGCACGAAUGGCGUAAUGAUGGCCAGGCUGUCUCCACCCGAGACUCAGUGAAAUUGAACUCGCUGUGAAGAUGCAGUGUACCCGCGGCAAGACGGAAAGACCCCGUGAACCUUUACUAUAGCUUGACACUGAACAUUGAGCCUUGAUGUGUAGGAUAGGUGGGAGGCUUAGAAGUGUGGACGCCAGUCUGCAUGGAGCCGACCUUGAAAUACCACCCUUUAAUGUUUGAUGUUCUAACGUUGACCCGUAAUCCGGGUUGCGGACAGUGUCUGGUGGGUAGUUUGACUGGGGCGGUCUCCUCCUAAAGAGUAACGGAGGAGCACGAAGGUUGGCUAAUCCUGGUCGGACAUCAGGAGGUUAGUGCAAUGGCAUAAGCCAGCUUGACUGCGAGCGUGACGGCGCGAGCAGGUGCGAAAGCAGGUCAUAGUGAUCCGGUGGUUCUGAAUGGAAGGGCCAUCGCUCAACGGAUAAAAGGUACUCCGGGGAUAACAGGCUGAUACCGCCCAAGAGUUCAUAUCGACGGCGGUGUUUGGCACCUCGAUGUCGGCUCAUCACAUCCUGGGGCUGAAGUAGGUCCCAAGGGUAUGGCUGUUCGCCAUUUAAAGUGGUACGCGAGCUGGGUUUAGAACGUCGUGAGACAGUUCGGUCCCUAUCUGCCGUGGGCGCUGGAGAACUGAGGGGGGCUGCUCCUAGUACGAGAGGACCGGAGUGGACGCAUCACUGGUGUUCGGGUUGUCAUGCCAAUGGCACUGCCCGGUAGCUAAAUGCGGAAGAGAUAAGUGCUGAAAGCAUCUAAGCACGAAACUUGCC